rnacentral:ncRNA from 1 species
ACAGUACAAACUGAACAGACCGUGACAUAGCGUCAUGGAGUCGGGUCACAGGAGUGACAGUGGAAAUUCUCAUCCACGGGACAGU